GUGUUAUUCUAAAGUAGUAAACUUGGGGAAAUAAACUUAUUUUAGCCAUUUGACAUUGUUGAAAAUGUUGUUACAACUCUUCCUUAGGUUGAAUGACUGGGGCUUUUAAAAAUUACUAUUUAAAAAAUAACUUUUCUUCAUUACAUAAACAAUACGUUGUCAUUACAGAAAAAGGUAGAAAAUACAGAUUACCAAAAUGAAGAAAAUAACCCCUGGAUCCUACCCAACUUCAGACAAUGACUAAGACCUUGAACGUACUGAAAUACUGUUUUGAAUCUGUACAACUCGUUCUUUAGAAUAUCCCCAGUGGUGUGGUCAUGGCACAGAAGGGAAGGACCGUGUCGACUUAGUUGUUGAGUUCCCAUGUGUAGCACACUAUCUGGAGCGUACUGCUGAGGAAGCACUCGAUAAGCUCAGAAUGGAUGAAACAAGACGUUUUCUUAAUGUGGCUUGUAAGGGGCUCUGAAAACAAUUUCCAAAGAGGAAUUUCAAAAACAUUCUGAGUGACGGGCUGCUCUCAUUCAG
rnacentral:lncRNA from 1 species